UGGGGAAUAUUGCACAAUGGGGGAAACCCUGAUGCAGCGACGCCGCGUGAGCGAAGAAGGUUUUCGAAUCGUAAAGCUCUGUCCUAUGGGAAGAUAAUGACGGUACCAUAGGAGGAAGUCCCGGCUAACUACGUGCCAGCAGCCGCGGUAAUACGUAGGGGGCAAGCGUUGUCCGGAAUCACUGGGCGUAAAGGGUUCGCAGGCGGAAAUGCAAGUCAGUUGUGAAAGGCAGAGGCUCAACCUCUGUAAGCAAUUGAAACUGUAUUUCUUGUGAUGUGGAGAGGCAAGUGAAAUUCCUAGUGUAGCGGUGAAAUGCGUAGAUAUUAGGAAGAAUACCGGUAGCGAAGGCGACUUGCUGGACACAAACUGGCGCUGAGGAACGAAAGCGUGGGUAGCAAACAGG
rnacentral:rRNA from 1 species